rnacentral:lncRNA from 1 species
AGUUUGUGGAGCAUCGCUUUAAGCUGACCCAGCAUACGGCAGCCCCUGCCCCUGGGGACAGCGGGGCCGACCUAGGGCACGAGGGGUGACUAGGGGUGACUCAGCCAGAACACUGGCCUGAGACGCAGUUCCACACUUAAGGUUUUCAUCGUCUCGUCUCAUUCCGGCAUUUCCCGGGACAACACUCGCACCAGCCCCGCUGCAGGUGCCCUGGGUCCCGGCGGCCGGCGCAGAGGAGACAAGAAAGGAGGGCGCAGGCACAGCGCCGCGGGCGCCCGCGAGCAAGGCCAGACCCCAGCGGCACAUUUCCUGCCCAAAACUUGGGGCCGCGACGGUAUGCACUCCGGGACUCAAACCCCAGGAUCAAGUACUAAGAAAACAGCCAGAGAGAGACUUUUCCAAUCACCUCCCACAACUGGAGUGAAGAAUCAGGAUACAGUGGACAAAAUAAGACAUGAAGUGUAAGGAUGUUGUUUCAGGCUGCACACGUGUCCCAGAGAAGAAGAAACCAAGCAUCGUGAUAGAACUCUGUUGAGCCAGGCAAAGUAUGAAUGGUCUGAUCUUCCUCCAUCAUGGAAAGAAACUUAUACUGAUUCAUCAAGAAGCAGGGAUAGAAGCCUGUUUAUAUUGUUAUUUAUUUUAGAGACUAUAAAAGUGACUAACCAAAAGAACCAAAACAGGGAUGGUUGGGAAAAACGUGGUUAUCUUUGGGCAGUGAGGCCACCUUGACUGGAAGACUGCCCAAGAGUGAAGGUGACAAAGGAACCAAGAUCAGGAGACCAAGAAAAGAGGACAAUCCAGAUCCAACAAUAUCGCUAGAGUCCCUUGGUCAAGCUGAAUAUGGAAAUGAGCUUUUCCCUAUGUAAGCCAAUAAAGUCUGCUUUUGAGUUGGGUUUCUGGAACUUGCCAUUAAAAAUGCCCAAUACAUGCCAACUACUCCUCCCCUUUCCCUCCCACCUCCCCUCCAGUUAAGGUCUUUGCCUUCUCAUCUUUAUAAACUUGCAUUGCCAGAUGCCUUGUGUAUAUAUUUACAUAAGAAGUUCAAAGUUCCUAGGUAUGCGAGUUAAUAGUGGAAUUAUUUAAUUGAUAAGUCCAAGUUUAUCUAGCAGUGCUGUAAGGAAGUCCAGGUGCAGUCGCUUAUGCCUGUAACCCCAACACCUUGGGAGGCCGAGGCAGGAGGAUCGCUUGAGUCCAGAAGCUCAAGACCAGCCUGAGCAAUAUAGUGGAGACCCCGUCUUUAAAAUUUUUUGUUUAAUUAGCUGGGCAUGAUGGCAGAUGCCUGCAGUUCCAACUACUCUGAAGGCUGAGACAGGAGGAUCACUUGAGGCCAGGAAUUGGAGGCUGUAGUAAGCUACGAUUUCACCACUGCAUUCUAGCCUGGAUGAUGGAGCAAGACCCUGUUUCUAAACAAGAAUAAAAAUAAACAGUAAUUUUUUUUUUUUUUUUGAGACUGAGUCUCUCUUUGCUGCCUAUGCUGGAUUGCAGUGCUGCGAUCUCAGCUCACUGCAACCUCCACCUCCCAGAGUCAAGCAAUUCUCCUGCCUUAGCCUCCUGGGUAGCUGGGAUUAGAGACACCCACCACCACUCCUGGCUAUUUUUUAUUUUUUUAUUUUUUAUUGUUAGUAGAGAUGGGGUUUCACCAUGUUGGGCCAGGCUGGUCUCGAACUCCUGACAUCAAGUGAUCUGCCCGCCUCGGCCUCCCAAACUGCUGGGAUUACAGGUGUAAAAGAUUUUUAAAAGUAAGGAGGAGGCCGAGGUGGGAGGAUGGCUUGAGCCCAGGAGUUCAAGUUAGGCAACAUGACAAAAUCCUGUCUCUGCAAAAAAUAUAAAAAUUAGUUGGGCAUGGUGGCAUGUGCCUGUAAUCCCAGCUACUUGGAGGUUGAGGUGAGAGAAUCACCUGAGCCCAGAAGGCCAAGGCUGCAUUGAGCCAUGAUGAAGCCACUGUACUCCAGCCUGAGCGUCGGAGUGAGACCAUGUCUCAAAAAAAAAAAAAAAAAAAAGGAGGCAAUGAUGAUUUGAAGCGACCAGAUUGUCUGCCUCAGUUGAGUUUCUGGGUUUGGAGCCUCUCUGGUAGCCACAACAAGAAUAUUCUUGGAUUGAGCCCCAAAGUUCUGCUGGUUGAACAAAAUGCAUGGCUGUCUUCUUCCAUUUUUAGAAUCAUAGAGUCCUGGAAUACCAGAAAUGAAAGGGUUUUAGAGAUCACCUAGUGUAACACCCCCAUUUUUACACAUGAGAAACUGGGACCCUGGGAGCUUCCAUGGUUUGCUCAGAGGACACUCUGAGGGUGAGUGGCAGAACCAAGACUGGAAGCUGGGUUUCUCCAGGCUCACAGUCCCUGGCUCCUUGUGUUGAGUCUUUGGGGAGGAGGAAGAAAAAUGAGAGCAAAAUGAUAGGGUCAGGACUGCAGAAUCAAAUGAGAAGCACCAACCGAGAUAGGAAGGUUUCUUGAAUGACAAUGACUGACACCUGGGUCUAUGCAGGGGGCCUCCCUGCUCAGGACUUUCUCUGAGUGUGGCCCAGGCUAAGGAAUUCUGAGGCCCUUCUGAUGCUAAGACCUUGGAUCUGGGAGACUAAGACAUGUGGACUGGUAAAUCCUUCCUGUGUCUUCUAGGUGUGCAGAAGCGCACAAGGACACCUCCCAGCUGGCGUCAUUGAGGCCGGCAGCAUUUUGACAUGUGGGUCAGGGUUCUCUGGGUCAUACUGUCAUGUUUUGAACUCUUUUCUGUUGGAGAAAAUUUUACUAUUUUUUCAAACCCAAUCAAUAGUAUGGUAUAGUCUUGUUUAAAUGUCACAUAAUCGCACUGAAGAAACAUCUAAAGGAGAAAAAAAGAACUACCUUUAGCCUCACAACCUUCACCCUAUAACUGACUUCCCUUUUGCUUUUUCUCUUCUGGCCCUUGUCCAUGUGCACACAUAAUUUUGCUUGGUUGUAAUGAGAAGACACAUACAAUUUUGUAUUAAAGCAAUAAAGUUUUAAUGAUGUAUAGAUAUACAAAGAAAAUAGCUAUAAAGCAAUAUUUAUGCAGGUUUGUAGGGGAAAAAUCCAUUUUAAAGGAGACAGUAUGGAAUAAUAGAACAUCUUAGAGUAGUCCAUUUGGGAUAGUGCUUAUAAGACUUUAAUAACAUUUCUUCUCUUUCCUUUUUAUAUUGUUCCUUAACCAAGUCAUGAU